rnacentral:rRNA from 1 species
UACAGAGGGGGCAAGCGUUGUUCGGAAUUACUGGGCGUAAAGGGCGCGUAGGCGGCCUGCUAAGUCGAACGUGAAAUCCCUGGGCUCAACCCAGGAACUGCGUCCGAUACUGGUUAGCUUGAAUCCGGGAGAGGGAUGUGGAAUUCCAGGUGUAGCGGUGAAAUGCGUAGAUAUCCGGAGGAACACCGGUGGCGAAGGCGGCUUCCUGGACCGACACUGACGCUGAGGCGCGAAAGCUAGGGGAGCAAACGGG